CAGCAGUUAUUAUGGCAAAACUACUAGUUUAACUUAGGUUUUUCCCAAAAGAAGCUACUUACUUUGAAAAUAAAACUAGAAAUCAGAUUAUUGGGCUGCUACUUAAUGCAUAAUAAUUUACAAAAUGAAGAAGUCAGGUUAAAAGGCUUUGCACAGCUAUUGUUCACAUUUACAGCCUUGGCUCAAACCCUGGUCUCUGACCAAAGAAAGAUCUGCUUAUAACCAUAUAUUCCAAGGCUCAGCCCCUUUUCUCUAUCUUUCUUUGAUGGUAGAUUUCAGAGUAAGCAGUGGCAGAACAGCAAUUACUUAAAGCUACAGCUUUGCAGUACACUUUAAGGUCACAUGAUUGGGCAUUUGUUCCACCAGACUUGGGUAAAACAAGUGUGUUCAUUUCAACAUCAAAGUCAAGGUCUGCAUCGGGUGAGUGCAGGACGGACCGUACAGUUCAAGCUGCCCCUUGCACCCUGACGCCCAGAGCCUGGAGAGCCUGCACAGAAUAUUCUGUUGAGAGUGAGUUACUGAGUCCUCAGGGUGCAGCCUGGGCCCAGCAGAAGAGUGAUCACCUGGGCUUCCUGCACUGUGAGCUGCUGCCAAGGCACUGUUUGGUGUGUCUGCCAGCUCACCCCCAGCAGAGGAAGUGCGGUCUUAGCCUUACCUCAGAUGACCUUUUGGAAAGGUCUGAUUCCAAAUCUUACCUCUGAUGAGUCGGUUUGAAUUUGGUAUCCAUUUUUCUAAAUUAAAAAUAUAGCUUAAAACAUAGGUACUACUGUGUCAUCAAAAUUCCUUUGGCCCUGGGCUGCAUUCAGAGACUUACCUGAAAAGGGAAGAAAGUGCUCAAUAUAUACUUUUUGUAUUAGGCUAUUGGAAAUGAAUAAAUUCAGAAUAUGGACCUAGAGCAACAUGACAAUACUAGAUGCCAGCUGUAGUUAUAUGUUUUUUAAAAAGUCAAAAGCUGCUUUCUCCUUUUCGUGAAAAGGGCUGAACUUUGGUGGUCAUCAAAUCUAACCCUUCACUUCACAAAUGAGGAAACUGAGGUUCAGAGAGACUGCAGCCCCAUAGUCAGCCCUUCCUUCCUAAGCCAGGUGUCAACUCAGGGCAGGGAUUAUUUUUUUAUACAGCCCCAAGCUCCCACCUGUAAACCUUAAGAGCUCUGCAUGGGCAAUAAAUAAACAGAUGAAAGUAACCGUCCACAGUGGAUCCUUGUGUAAGAAAAAGUUUUCCACAGAGCAGAGGAAUCAGGUGUUGCAAAGAUCCAGCUCAGUUCUGGCUAUUCACAGAGUUUUAUAAUACAGUGUAAUUACAUCUCAGUCCAAUAUACAAAAGAUAAAAGCAACAAGUAAGCUCUUCACUUAUAACUGACAAAGUAGUGAAAGAGUUUCCCCAGGGGGCAGAUUUGGCAGAUGAGCCUUUACUCCAUAGAAAGAAUUGAAAGAUUAGAAAAGGCAUAGAAAAAGGAAGGUGUUCUUUAGGCAUCAUUUACCUGUUCUCUUGCUAUCCUUUGAGUAGCCUGGAAGGAAUAUUUCACAAUGGACGUGCUACAAAAGCAAUCGAAAGUGAAAGGCACUUUUUCUUCUAAAUUGUUGCCUUUAAUAAUUUCAUUAAUUCUUGUCAACAAUUUUUAUGGGCCUGCUUAUUAAAAAUAAAAGAUCUAAGUGGAAACGUUGAUUAGACAAAGGUACCUCCCCUCUGAGAACACCUAACAUUACAAUAUGAAAACGGUGGCUUCAAGAAUCUGAGUUCUUUUAAUUACCUGUAUCAGAUGAGUAAAAAGACACUCCGGACAUAAUGAAUGCUUUCUUAACACAACAGAACCACCUACACACAUGAACAGGACUGUUCAGGGAGCCUGGUUUGGUGUGAACUGGGGCUGGCUCCCAGGUGGAGCCUGCUCUUAGAACACACCAGAAGGCUGGAAGGCUCUAGUGGGGCCGCUUGCACACGCAACAGUACAGUUUUACUUUUUUCCUGGACAGUGCAGACAGUGCCAUCAGCUCUAGCCUUGCAGGAGGGCACAGUCAUUCUUCAGACUUGCACUCCUGGCUCUGGUGCUGCAUCCUGGAAAGGACGCGCUCGUAGAACAGCAGGUAGGCGCUGGAGGACAGGACCUCCUGCAGGCUGGCCUUGCGGACAGUGUCAUCGGAGACCCACAGCCACUGAUUGCUAGUUGAGAGAGGGUUCCUGGCAGAAGGUGGGGACCGUCGGUAAGUGACAAAGUGUCCAGAGUGCAUGUCUCCAUGGUGGACGACAACUGCCAUCAGCCGGAAGAGUCUUAAGAAAACAACAAUUUCCUCCUAAGGAUGACUGUGGUAAUAUGCAAUA
rnacentral:lncRNA from 10 species